rnacentral:rRNA from 1 species
UACAGAGGGUGCGAGCGUUGUUCGGAAUUACUGGGCGUAAAGCGCGCGCAGGCGGCUUUUUAAGUCCGACGGUGAAAUGCCGGGGCUCAACCCCGUGCCCGCCGCGGAUACUGGGAAGCUGGAGACAUGUAGAGGCAAGCGGAAUUCCGGGUGUAGCGGUGGAAUGCGUAGAGAUCCGGAAGAACACCGGAGGCGAAGGCGGCUUGCUGGGCAUGGUCUGACGCUGAGGCGCGAAAGCGUGGGGAGCGAUCCGG